rfam:Gossypium raimondii Chr02_contig_1479, whole genome shotgun sequence.
UGUUAAAAAUUCCAUCCAUUUAUAUUGUUAAAAACGGGUAUGAUUGACAGAAUAACUAGAUAGUGACUCGUAGCAUGCCAUGUGUAUCUCAUGUUGAUGUAUAAGGACCAGUUUUUAACAAUAAAAAUAGAUGAAAUUUUUAACC